AAAGUACAAAUAACCCAUAUCCUUUGGAGGAUUUACAGAAGCUCCAACCUUGCUGUCGUUGAAAAUAACCCAUCUUCCAUCUUUUAGGACAUGGGCAACAUAAUGGCCGCACUGUGUAGAAGUUCCAAUAUGGCUCACUAUUCCGAAAAGCCUGUAUCUCCCUCCUCCAUCAGGUAGUCCAGUAUUAUCUGCAGUAGGUGCGAUGCUUGACGUGGUGGCAUCCAUAUCAGAUGAAACAGAAGCAUCAGGAUUGUUGAAUAUCCAAUCUGUUGCUUUCUCAAUGUCCCCAGCCGAUGCCUUCAGUGCUUUUCGAGCUAUGUCUUCUUGAAAACCAAAUGAGAUCAGGGUAUCAAUUUUGGAUUGGUCAACAACUUCAGUACCUUGUGCCUCUUGAGAAAUGGGAAGAUCUAUAUCUGGAUCAUCCAUGUGUGAAAGUAACCAAUUCAUUGCCUCUUCUACUCCAGCGUUUAAGGUAUUUAUAGCAGCUUUCUCACAAUGAAGAUGGUUGAACCCCAUUGAGACAAGCUGCGAAACAAUAUCCUCAUUGGCCAGAAGCUUAUUUGAUUCAGCCUCAACCUCAGGAACACCAUCUGGCAACAACUCCUCCCCUGGUUGAAGGCCUCUGCUUCGCAUAUGACUGAUAUCUAUGAUAUCAGGAACAUCUAUAUAUACAUCAAGCUUUUUUGGCACCCAGCCCUCCUCCAUGACAAAUUUCCUCAUGUGCAACACCAAAUAAUCAGGGAAUGAAGUUAGCCCAGCAGUCUUUUGUGCUGUUGUCUUAGCCUUUAAGGCAGUACUAUAAAAAUCCUGUAUCUGCUCAGGAGCUGAAAAGCUAGCAAGGCAUGCCUCUAGAGGUACCCUUGGGCGUACAAUUUCCUCACUGGAUACAUCUUUCCCUUCUGAAACCUCUCCUGCUUUCGACUUUUGGAAGGCCUCAAGUUCUUCUUUAUUAGUAGCUUCAUGUAAAGGAAUAUUCAAAGAAAGAAUAUAGUCAAGCCUUCUGUUAUAAGCAACCUUUCCAGAUGAACACAAGAUACGUUCCUCAAUACCAAACUUAANNNNGAUCCAAAGUAGGUUUCCCACCAUUAACACGUUCAACUUGAUCAAGAAAAUGUAGGAAGAAUUCCAAUGCAUCCUGUUGCCUCAUAGAAGAGAACUCAGGAUGGCUGGCAGCAAUAACUGA
rnacentral:misc_RNA from 1 species